UCAGAGAAGCCUUGCUAGUUUUAGAAUCGGAUCCAUUUUAGUUUUUCUUAGUGUUUUCUUCAUUUUAUUGUUGUUGUUCUUACAAUCGAAGGUACAUUCCUGCCAUAAUAUAGGUCUUCUCAUGAGGUGAUAAAAAUCAGCAGAGAUCUCAGAGUUGUGAUGGAUGUUUCUUCUCUUCAGCUCAACACAAGAUAAUGAAAAAAAUUUAAAGAGCUUCAUUCAUGGCAGAAGAUCUGUUGAGCAUCACAAACUGAAAAAAAAAAUAAUUAAACAGAGAGAAAAAGAAAAAUGCCAAACAAAGAGAAUAAGAGACAAUCUACUGAACCAGGAGAGAAACAGGUGCUGAGACUAACCAAACAGAGAAGUCUUAAUAGUGGAAAACCAAACUUUUCUGAUGAUCCAGACGGUUUUAUUCUGAGACUCGCAGAUGAGGAGCAGCACCUUUCACCGGACCAGCAGAAUGCACCGAAUCCAAAAUUUGUGCACUUGUAAACUGCACACUUUGUAAAUAACAUAUCUGCACACUUAUAACAUAUCUGUACAUUUAUAGUAUAUAGUACAUUAUUUAAUUUCAGUUUUUUUCUUAUAUUAGUGUUAUAUUCCAUCCCCACUGUGUUAUUGCUAUGCAUGUCUGCACUUUGUCUGUACUUUCUUCUGCUCUGGAAGCUCGUGUCGUCAAGUCAAUUUUUUUUUAAAACAUGGUAAUAACUUGGUAAUAAAGCUCUUCUGAUUCUGAUUCUGAAAUUUGUCAAGUGUGAGAUCAUGAUCACAUGAUUCAGUGAUGAAGAUCAUCAGUAUUACAGCAGAUCAACAGCUGAGAGAAGAUCACAUGAACACCUCAAAUCAUAUCAGCGUUUAGACUUUAAAUGUAGUGGAGUAGUGUUUUCAUUUUAAUCAGCCUUAAGAUUGAAUUAUUUUAAAACAUUAUUAAACCAUGUCCUUAGAUUAAUUAGCACUAAUGCAGAAAUGAUUAAAGACAAAAAAUAAAAUAAAAACCUUACAAUGAGA